GACGAACGCUGGUGGCGAGCCUAACACAUGCAAGUCGAGCGAAGUGAGUACUACGGUACGAACUUAGCGGCGGACGGGUGAGUAACGCGUGGACAAGCUACCCUGUAGAGUGGGAUAACACCUCGAAACGGGUGCUAAUACCGGAGAAAGUCGAGCAGAGGCCUCGUUUGUCGAAGAAAGGAGAGAAUCCGCUAUAGGAGGAGUCCGCGUGCCAUUAGCGAGUUGGGGAGGGUAACGGCCCACCAAAGCGACGAUGGGGAGCCGGCCUGAGAGGGUGAACGGGCACACUGGAACUGAGACACGGUCCAGACUCCUACGGGGGGCAGCAGUGGGGAAUAUUGUGCAAUGGGGGAAACCCUGACACAGCAACGCCGCGUGAGCGAAGAAGGCCUUCGGGUUGUAAAGCUCAUUAGUAUGGGAAGAUAAUGACGGUACCAUACGAAAGCCCCGGCUAACUACGUGCCAGCAGCCGCCGCCGUAA
rnacentral:rRNA from 1 species